AAGUGGCAGACUGGAAAAUCUCUGCAGGCAAAUGUGAUGUCACUAAAGAAAUCACACACUUACCUAUAGAGAUUCUACAGUCUGACAUC
rnacentral:pre_miRNA from 15 species